rnacentral:rRNA from 1 species
GAUGAACGCUGGCGGCGUGCUUAAUACAUGCAAGUCGAACGAAGCACCUUGGACAGAAUCCUUCGGGAGGAAGACCAUUGUGACUGAGUGGCGGACGGGUGAGUAACGCGUGGGUAACCUGCCUUGUACAGGGGGAUAACAGUUGGAAACGACUGCUAAUACCGCAUAAGCGCACAGUACCGCAUGGUACGGUGUGAAAAACUCCGGUGGUACAAGAUGGACCCGCGUCUGAUUAGCUUGUUGGUGAGGUAACGGCCCACCAAGGCGACGAUCAGUAGCCGACUUGAGAGAGUGAUCGGCCACAUUGGGACUGAGACACGGCCCAAACUCCUACGGGAGGCAGCAGUAGGGAAUAUUGCACAAUGGGGGAAACCCUGAUGCAGCGACGCCGCGUGAAGGAAGAAGUAUUCGGUAUGUAAACUUCUAUCAGCAAGGAAGAAAAUGACGGUACUUGACUAAGAAGCCCCGGNUAAAUACGUG